AUUGAACGCUGGCGGCAUGCUUUACACAUGCAAGUCGAACGGUAACAGGGUGCUUGCACCGCUGACGAGUGGCGAACGGGUGAGUAAUGCGUCGGAACGUGCCGAGUAGUGGGGGAUAACGCAGCGAAAGUUGUGCUAAUACCGCAUACGUACUGAGGUAGAAAGUGGGGGACCUUCGGGCCUCACGCUAUUCGAGCGGCCGACGUCUGAUUAGCUAGUAGGUGAGGUAAAGGCUCACCUAGGCGACGAUCAGUAGCGGGUCUGAGAGGAUGCUUCGCCACACUGGGACUGAGACACGGCCCAGACUCCUACGGGAGGCAGAAGGGGGGAAUUUUGGACAAUGGGCGAAAGCCUGAUCCAGCCAUGCCGCGUGUCUGAAGAAGGCCUUCGGGUUGUAAAGGACUUUUGUCAGGGAGGAAAUCCCUAGUGCUAAUAACACUGGGGGAUGACAGUACCUGAAGAAUAAGCACCGGCUAACUACGUGCCAGCCGCCGCCGUAA
rnacentral:rRNA from 1 species